rnacentral:rRNA from 1 species
CUUAUCACUUUCGCUUAGCCACUGAGAUUGCUCCCAACAGCUAGUAUCCAUCGUUUACGGCGUGGACUACCAGGGUAUCUAAUCCUGUUCGCUACCCACGCUUUCGUCCAUCAGCGUCAAUCCAUUAGUAGUAACCUGCCUUCGCAAUUGGUAUUCCAUGUAAUCUCUAAGCAUUUCACCGCUACACUACAUAUUCUAGUUACUUCCUAAUAAUUCAAGUUUAACAGUAUCAAUGGCCGUUCCACCGUUGAGCGAUGGGCUUUCACCACUGACUUAUUAAACCGCCUACGGACCCUUUAAACCCAAUGAUUCCGGAUAACGCUUGGAUCCUCCGUAUUACCGCGGCUGCUGGCACGGAGUUAGCCGAUCCUUAUUCUUACGAUACCGUCAAGCUCCUAUACAUAGGAGUGUUUCUUCUCGUACAAAAGCAGUUUACAAUCCAUAGGACCGUCAUCCUGCACGCGGCAUGGCUGGAUCAGGCUUGCGCCCAUUGUCCAAUAUUCCUCACUGCUGCCUCCCGUAGGAGUCUGGUCCGUGUCUCAGUACCAGUGUGGGGGAUCUCCCUCUCAGGACCCCUACCCAUCGUAGCCUUGGUAAGCCGUUACCUUACCAACUAGCUAAUGGGACGCAUGCUCAUCUUUUACCGUUGUGACUUUAAUUGCUCGAUGAUGCCAUCAUGCAAUGCUAUGAGGUAUUAAUCCAAAUUUCUCUGGGCUAUCCCUCUGUAAAAGGCAGAUUGCAUACGCGUUACGCACCCGUGCGCCGGUCUCUAUAUCCGAAGACAUAUACCCCUCGACUUGC